AUUCAGGUAUUUCAGCCGAGGAUAGAGCUACAUGGUUACACUUUUCGAAAAUCCAUUUGUGAGGAAAAUAAGCACAGCCAAACAUACUUUUGCGCAUGCGCAUUUAUCGCAGCGCGUGUACGUAGAGACAAAAGUCUCAGGAUCAAGAAUAUAAACAAACAAACCUAAACCUCUGUAAAUAAAUAUAGCUCAUUGCACCUCUAAUGUUAAAGUUGUCUUUCUAUAUUAGUAAAUUUAAACACAAAAAUAGCAGGGAACGGGUUCCUAUGUGAUCUUUUAAAGAUGUAUUCAGCACGCUAGAUAUAUGAACAUUACUCUCGGAUAUUUUAUAAAAGAAUAGUGUACCAGAUGACUGGAACUAUAAAUAUUCCGAUCAAAACUCUCCUGCUUCACAUAUCCAAUGUUAUAAAUGCGUGCGAUUUAUCAUCAGUGACACCUUCCAGAGUGAAGCAGUACUUGAAGUAUAGAUUUAAAAAUGCAUUACCCAGUGAAGAUGAUUUAGAUACUAUCUUGAAAAAUGUAAUUAAAAGUGCUAAACUUAGCCAAGUUCUAAAUGGUGGUUCUGUGCAUUUUCGAGAAGUUAAUUAUGAUAGCUUGGAUACUUAUGAGGCAAAACUUAAAGAUACAACGGUGGAAUAUGAAACUGAAGAUUACGUACUUACCAAAGAAGAACUUCCAAAAGAACGAGUUAUUAAUUCUAAUAUGAAAAGAGUGGAUCCAUGCCAUUACGCUCUACAAAAUCUUUUUCCAAAAACCCCCAGAAGUAUUAGGGGAUUUGUAAAACAAAAAAGGAAACAAACUGGAUUUGUACAGAGGAAGAGAAUGUUCUAUAAGUCGCUUACAGAAAUUGUGAAACGAAGAGUUUUAGAUCGAAGAAAAUAUUUAGCACAGAAGAAGAGAAAACGUCUUGCAGAAAAUUUGGAACUAUCUAGAGUUCUACAGAAUAAGACAAAACAUCCUAAAAAGGAACCAUCUAGAGUUCUACAGAAGAACACAAAACGUCCUAAAAAGGAACCAUCUAGAGUUCUACAGAAGAACACAAAACGUCCUAAAAAGAAACAGACUGGAUUUGUACAAAGGAAAAGAACUACAGUUCCACGGCAGAAGACAAAAUGUUCUAUAAAGAAUGGGCCGCAUGAAAAUGUCUUGGAAUUGUCUCCUGCCGAAAAAACGCUGCACCUUUUAAAUUUACUUGUUGGCUUCUUCUUUGUGAGGAACCAUCUACAGAUCUACAGGAGAACACAAAACGUCCUAAAAAGGAACCAUCUAGAGUUCUACAGAAGAACACAAAACGUCCUAAAAAGGAACCAUCUAGAGUUCUACAGAAGAACACAAAACGUCCUAAGAAGGUUGCGAAACCAACUGGAUUUGUACAAAAGAAAAGAACUACUGUUCCACGGCAGAAGACAAAGUGUUCUAAAAAGGAACCAUCCAGAGUUCUACAGAAGAACACAAAACAUCCUGAAAAGACAAAAAAGAAACCACUUUACGAGGAAACGAUGUAUGAUAAUUCUGUGUGGUAUAGUCAAGUGACAGGAGUAUUAAAACUGUGUGUCAAAAGAUCUUUGCCUAUGGAGCCAUAUCAUGGUGAAGUCAAAAAAUCGAAGACAGUGCCAAAGAAAAAGCAAGAGACAAAUACAAAGGAGCCAUAUCAUGGUGAAGUCAAAAAAUCGAAGACAGUGCCAAAGAAAAAGCAAGAGACAAAUACAAAGAGUCUAACAGAAAAGAAAGUCCCGAGAACGAGAAAUGCUCCAGCAAAAGAAAGUGAACGUUUGUUUCGACAUAACGUUCUAAGUUAUCUUCAAGAGAAUUUUAGUACAUUAUCAAAUGAACAAUUAAAAGCUAUUUUAAGGAACACUACUGACGAAGCCGCAGCAAUAAUGAAAUGUUCGGAGCUAUGUAACUAAUCUAAUAUAAAAAUGUAAAUAUUAAUAUUUCAUUAAAAAAAUUUUACUAUGUUA